rnacentral:rRNA from 1 species
UACGUAGGGAGCAAGCGUUGUCCGGAAUCAUUGGGCGUAAAGAGCGCGUAGGUGGCUUUAUAAGUCCGUUGUGAAAGUCAAAGGCUCAACCUUUGAAAGCCGAUGGAUACUGUGAAGCUAGAGUACGGAAGAGGCGAGUGGAAUUCCUGGUGUAGCGGUGGAAUGCGCAGAUAUCAGGAGGAACACCAAUAGCGAAGGCAGCUCUCUGGGACGGUACUGACGCUGAGACGCGAAAGCGUGGGGAGCGAACAGG